GAUGAACGCUAGCUACAGGCUUAACACAUGCAAGUCGAGGGGCAGCGCAGUGUAGCAAUACAUGGGCGGCGACCGGCGCACGGGUGCGUAACGCGUAUCCAACCUUCCCGUUACUCUCGGAUAGCCUUCCGAAAGGGAGAUUAAUACGAGAUGGUGUUGAAAUUCCGCAUGUUAUUUCAGCUAAAGAUUCAUCGGUAACGGAUGGGGAUGCGUGACAUUAGGUAGAUGGCGGGGUAACGGCCCACCAUGCCUACGAUGUCUAGGGGUUCUGAGAGGAAGGUCCCCCACACUGGAACUGAGACACGGUCCAGACUCCUACGGGAGGCAGCAGUUAGGAAUAUUGGGUCAAAUGGGCGCAAGCCUGACCAGCCAAGUAGCGUGAAGGAUGACUGCCCUA
rnacentral:rRNA from 1 species